CCUACGGGUGGCAGCAGUAGGGAAUAUUGCUCAAUGGGGGCAACCCUGAAGCAGCAACGCCGCGUGGAGGAUGAAGGCUUUCGGAUUGUAAACUCCUUUUGUUAGAGAAGAUAAUGAUGGUAUCUAUCGCAUAAGCACCGGCUAACUCCGUGCAAGCAGCCGCGGUAAUACGGAGGGUGCAAGCGGUACUUGGAAGCACUGGGCGUAAAGAGCGCGUAGGCGGGAUAGCAAGUCAGAUGUGAAAUCCUACGGCUGAACCAUAGAACUGCAUUUGAAACUGUUAGUCUAGAGUAUGGGAGAGGUAGGUGGAAUUCUUGGUGUAGAGGUGAAAUGCGUAGAGAUCAGGAGGAAUACUCGUGGCGAAGGCGGCCUGCUGGAACAAAACUGACGCUGAGGCGCGAAAGCGUGGGGAGCAAACAGGAUUAGAUACCCCAGUAGUC
rnacentral:rRNA from 1 species